GAGAAUGAUUGAUAAAACAAUAUUAUAAGCUGAUUUUAAGCUUGAGUUUAUCUUUAGAUAUUUAUGCAGUUGUUUUAUCUUGGACCAUGAUGUUCUGGAUGCAGUUGUUCAAUUAAUAUUGAUUGAAAUAAUAAAACAAUAUUAAUGAUUAAGUUAGGACCAGAAAACUCUGGAUUAAUUUGGUUGUGAUUAAUUAGGACCAGAAUAUUCUGAAGAGAUUAAUAAAUAUUAGUAUGAUUGUGAUUUUGUGUGUGUAUGUAGUGUAACUUUAACACAGGAGAUUUAUUCUGGUUCACCAAACUCGACUACUUCCAGUCCCCCACACCUCGUGUGAGAUUAUCCACUAUAGUAUCUUGCUAACAUAAACUUUUGACUAGCACUACAAGUUCUUGAUUACACCAUAUCAGUCCAUUUUCCUUGUAUUAUCAACCUCAACAAACUUCUUCAAUUCUUUGAUUUCGCACAAGGAAGGUUGUUACGAAUAGACUUGAGAACACGAUACCCUUUAUAUGACGAGAUGGGUUUGUGAUCGGAUUUACACUCAACUCGUGUUUGAGGGUAUGAUGCUAUAAACACACUCACAAUAUGUGAUCCACAAAUCUAUUAUGAGCUAUAGUGUGUUAUAGAUUAAGAGAUUGUGAUAUUUGCACGUAAAAGUGGAUUAUGGUUAAAAUUAAUCUCUUAGCCUCAAAGGCUUCUCAACUCAUGUUUGAGAUUAUGAUGAACAAACUCUUGAUAUUGAUAAAAAAAAAAAAAAUAUAGUGAGAGUGUUGGAGUUUGUUUGUAUGUGAAGAGUUUUUAAAGUAGUGAUGAUUUCGCUUGAGAGAUGAUUUCUUUGUUUUUUUUUUUUUUUUUGUUACAAGAUGAUUUCUUUUUUUUAAAAACUCUUGAUAUUUCUA
rnacentral:lncRNA from 1 species